UACAGAGGCCUCAAGCGUUGUUCGGAUUCAUUGGGCGUAAAGGGUGCGCAGGCGGUCGGGUAAGUCGGAUGUGAAAUCCCGGGGCUCAACCUCGGAACUGCAUUCGAUACUGCCUGGCUGGAGGAUUGGAGAGGAGAGUGGAAUUCACGGUGUAGCAGUGAAAUGCGUAGAGAUCGUGAGGAAGACCAACGGCGAAGGCAGCUCUCUGGACAAUUCCUGACGCUGAGGAGCGAAAGCGUGGGUAGCGAACAGG
rnacentral:rRNA from 1 species